rnacentral:rRNA from 1 species
UACAGAGGGGGCAAGCGUUGUUCGGAAUUACUGGGCGUAAAGGGCGCGUAGGCGGCCUUCUAAGUCGAACGUGAAAUCCCCGGGCUCAACCCGGGAACUGCGUCCGAUACUGGAAGGCUUGAAUCCGGGAGAGGGAUGCAGAAUUCCAGGUGUAGCGGUGAAAUGCGUAGAUAUCUGGAGGAAUACCGGUGGCGAAGGCGGCAUCCUGGACCGGCAUUGACGCUGAGGAGCGAAAGCUAGGGGAGCAAACGGG